rnacentral:rRNA from 1 species
GCCAUCCCGCGUGCAGGAUGACGGCCCUACGGGUUGUAAACUGCUUUUAUACAGGAAGAAAAACCCUGACGUGUCAGGGCUUGCCGGUACUGUAUGAAUAAGCAUCGGCUAACUCCGUGCCAGCAGCCGCGGUAAUACGGAGGAUGCAAGCGUUAUCCGGAUUCAUUGGGUUUAAAGGGUGCGUAGGCGGCUUUUUAAGUCAGUGGUGAAAUCCUGCCGCUUAACGGUAGAAUUGCCAUUGAUACUGAGAAGCUUGAGUUCAGUUGAGGUAAGCGGAAUGUGUAGUGUAGCGGUGAAAUGCUUAGAUAUUACACAGAACACCGAUUGCGAAGGCAGCUUACUAAACUGUUACUGACGCUGAUGCACGAAAGCGUGGGGAUCGAACAGGAUUAGAUACCCUGGUAGUCCACGCCGUAAACGAUGCUCACUCGCUGUAUGCGAUAUACAGUAUGCGGCCAAGCGAAAGCAUUAAGUGAGCCACCUGGGGAGUACGAUCGCAAGGUUG